AUCCAGAAGGGUCUCACAAUUGCGCUUUUUCUGCCUUUCGAUGAUCUACUUGGAAUCCCUAAUGUCCCAUUUACCAUUCAGGCCAAUCCCAUCGCUCUUCUCGAAUCUUUUUGUCCUUCUCAUAGAUUUCUGUCUCCUUUUACCUUAAUUCAAUCUCCCAUUUCUUUACCUAAUCAAUUGCAGCCUCAAGCCCUGUUAACCCUCGCUAUUUUGUUAAUAGAGAACCGACCUCCUGCAUCUGGGUCUUUCUCGUAUUCUUGAGGCUUGGUCUUUUGGGUACUUGAGAAUUCACUUGCAUUGGUAUAAGUUAGACUUUUUUUUUGAUUUUUGGGUUUGAUAAAUUCUGCUACUGGGUUUUGAUUUUGAAGUAUAAAUUGUUGCAUGUCCCUGAGGAACUGAUCUGUUUUUGAAGAUAACCGCU
rnacentral:misc_RNA from 1 species